AGUGAAUGGCAAGACUAGGGAUAUCUGUACCCUGUAUAGAAAAACAACUUUUCAUCUGGGUGAAAAGACCCAAAUGACAAAGGAAGACGAAAAGACCCCGCGGAACUUUACCUUUUCCGGUCUCCACAUGCUCAGAAACAUUGGAACAAAAGGUUUGAUUGGGGCAAUCUCGGAACCACCAAAACUUCCGACUUAUAAGAAAAAAGUAUAUAAAACUUAAUAAGGACCAAAAAGAAGUUACCCCGGGGAUAACAGCGUAAUCCAACUUGAGAGUACACAUCGAAAGCUGGGUUUGCGACCUCGAUGUUGGCUUAAGGAUAUCCACAUAAGUGCAACCGCUAUGAUAGGACAGUCUGUUCGACUAUUAUACCCUUACACGAGCUG
rnacentral:rRNA from 1 species